CGGCCUAUACAUGCAAGUCGGACGGGAUCCAUCGGAAGAGCUUGCUCGAAGAUGGUGAGAGUGGCGCACGGGUGCGUAACGCGUGAGCAACCUACCUCUAUCAGGGGGAUAGCCUCUCGAAAGAGAGAUUAACACCGCAUAACAUCAACAGUUCGCAUGUUCAGUUGAUUAAAUAUUUAUAGGAUAGAGAUGGGCUCGCGUGACAUUAGCUAGUUGGUAGGGUAACGGCUUACCAAGGCGACGAUGUCUAGGGGCUCUGAGAGGAGAAUCCCCCACACUGGUACUGAGACACGGACCAGACUCCUACGGGAGGCAGCAGUAAGGAAUAUUGGUCAAUGGGCGGAAGCCUGAACCAGCCAUGCCGCGUGCAGGAUGACUGCCCUAUGGGUUGUAAACUGCUUUUGUCCAGGAAUAAACCUAUAUACGUGUAUAUAGCUGAAUGUACUGGAAGAAUAAGGAUCGGCUAACUCCGUGCCAGCAGCCGCGGUAAUACGGAGGAUCCGAGCGUUAUCCGGAUUUAUUGGGUUUAAAGGGUGCGUAGGCGGCCUAUUAAGUCAGGGGUGAAAUACGGUGGCUCAACCAUCGCAGUGCCUUUGAUACUGAUGGGCUUGAAUCCAUUUGAAGUGGGCGGAAUAAGACAAGUAGCGGUGAAAUGCAUAGAUAUGUCUUAGAACUCCGAUUGCGAAGGCAGCUCACUAAGCUGGUAUUGACGCUGAUGCACGAAAGCGUGGGGAUCGAACAGGAUUAGAUACCCUGGUAGUCCACGCCCUAAACGAUGAUAACUCGAUGUUGGCGAUAGACAGCCAGCGUCCAAGCGAAAGCGUUAAGUUAUCCACCUGGGGAGUACGCCCGCAAGGGUGAAACUCAAAGGAAUUGACGGGGGCCCGCACAAGCGGAGGAGCAUGUGGUUUAAUUCGAUGAUACGCGAGGAACCUUACCCGGGCUUGAAAGUUAGUGAAGAGUGCAGAGACGCACUCGUCCUUCGGGACACGAAACUAGGUGCUGCAUGGCUGUCGUCAGCUCGUGCCGUGAGGUGUUGGGUUAAGUCCCGCAACGAGCGCACCCCCUAUGUUUAGUUGCCAGCAUUUAAGG
rnacentral:rRNA from 1 species